rnacentral:rRNA from 1 species
AGAGCUCAAAUUUCGAAUCUGGCGGCCCCGCCGUCCGAGUUGUAAUCUGGAGAAGCGUUUUCCGCGCCGGACCGUGUACAAGUCCCUUGGAACAGGGCGUCGUAGAGGGUGAGAAUCCCGUCUUUGACACGGACCCCCGGUGCUCUGUGAUGCGCUCUCGAAGAGUCGAGUUGUUUGGGAAUGCAGCUCAAAAUGGGUGGUAAAUUCCAUCUAAAGCUAAAUAUUGGCGAGAGACCGAUAGCGAA